AGUCCUCCGGGGCGCCGCUCAGUCAGCCGACGCGCCUCUCUAUGGCACUUUACUCCUCCGGGGCGCCGCUCAGUCAGCCGACGGGCCUCUCUAUGGCACUUUAGUCCUCCUGGAGGCCGCUCAGUCAGCCGACGCGCCUCUCUAUGGCACUUUAGUCCUCUAGGAUCCAGGAAGUGCUCAUCAGUCUUCUGGAAAUCACCUGCUUCCAGCACUCUUCUAAAACCAUAAAACACAGUUAACCACAAAAAUAUCUGAAGAUCACAAAAAUAAAGUGACGCCUGCAGAACUUUCUUUUCUACAGCAACAAGUAGACAGAACUCAAACAACAGCGAUGCAGAGGGACAAGAUGUGCACCAAAGAGUCAUGGAGAAGGCAAGUGGGACCCUGUAAGAAGGUGCAGGACGCAGGCUCAGAGGGACUAAGCCGCAUGCUGAUGAGCGUGCUGAGAAAGUGAGGCGGUUGUGGGCCGCAUUGAUGUCUUAAUAGUGAAGUAUUAUACGGCAACCUGGUUAAUUAUUUAUCUUCUGGUUUUGCAGGUGCCCUGUGAGCCAUCUUUGGAAGUGGGUGAGCAUUAGAGGUGAGCUGAGGCAGCAGUGAGGAGGAGCUUGUGGCUGGUGAUUUCUCACAUGUGCAACAGUAAUUUUGUUUCUUGGUAUCUCAAGCAAUGGUGGCCACAGCAUUUGACUCUGGAAGGAGCAGGUGAGUGGAAUCCCAUUGUGCUUUUGAGGAAGGGGAAACUGUGGAAGAGGUUGGCGGUGGCCUCUCUGAAACUUCUUGCUGUCACUGUUUGGUUUUCUUUAAUUGUAGAUGAUGAUGAUGAA